rnacentral:lncRNA from 1 species
CACGUCAUUCUCCUGCCUCAGCUUCCGGAGCAGCUGGGACUGCUGGCGCCCGCCACUACGCUCGGCUAAUUUUUUUGUGUUUUUAGUAGAGACGGGCUUUCACCGUGUUGGCCUAGCGGUUCUCCAACUCCUGACCUCAUGAUCCCCCCGCCUCAGCCUCCCAAAGUGCUGGGAUUACAAGCGUGAGCCACCGCGACCCGCCAACACUCUUGACAACAGUGCUGUGCUAAGAACUUGGGGGACUUCAAAAAGUUCACCAGUUCCUGUGUCCAUGGGUGAAAAGAUUUUCUACAUCUUUCCUUGACUAGAAACAGAAGUCCUGAAACAAGAAUAUAACGUCAGGAGGCCAGAGGCUUUGUCCUGCCUAAUGUGUUAUUUCCACACUGAAUAAAAGCACCUGAGUCCUGGUUCUGGAGAUUGGGGCAUGAUAUCUUCCUUGGGCCAUUACUUGUCCUGCCACUUGGAAUAGGUGCUUAUAAGCCACCUCUAAGAUAAUGAAUAACUUGCAAUUUGAUCCGUGAUUUACAUAACGUGUAUGUUUUUCCUGUUUGCAAAGGCAUAUGGCAAGGGAGUAAAGCCAAACUUUUUACCACAUGGCAAAAAUAAUUGUAUUUUGCAACAGACUAAAAGCUUAAUGCUAUACAGACUUUGGGUUGGUGGAGUUACUUGAGGAUUUACUCCAGCAAAACAAAAAAAAGAAUGAAAGAAAGAGAAAGAUAAAAAUAUGAAAGAAGCAACAGACCUAUUCCAGAAAUGUAAUGAAAAAAGGCCACGAAGUUUGACAACUAUGUAUUAAAUUUACAAUCAGUCCAAAUUAGACUGGUAGUCAGAUUGAUAUGAGAAGUACAUUUUCAAAAAGAUGUACUAUACCAAAUAAUAUGAGUGCAAAACUCUGGAUGAUUUUAGUAAUAAUGUGAAGACACAUAUUUCUUUUGACAAUUAAAAAAAAGAAAAUGAAUUGGAAACUUCAGGAAACGUCAGAAAAUACAAAAUGCUCUGUAGGAAGUAAUUGUCUAAAUGAGAGGUGAAGCCAGUGGGACUUCCUGGAUUGGAUGGGGACUUGGAGAACUUUUCUGUCUAGCUAAAGGAUUGUAAACACACCAAUCAGUGCUCUGUGUCUAGCUAAAGGAUCGCAAAUGCACCAAUCAGCACUCUGUAAAAAUUCUGUGUCUAGCUAAAGGUUUGUAAAUGCACCAAUCAGCAAUCUGUUAGAAUGCACCAAUCAGUGCUCUGUGUCUAGCUAAAGGUUUGUAGAUGCACCAAUCAGCACUCUGUAAAAACGCAUCAAUCAGCGUUCUGUGUCUAGCUAAAGGUUUGUAGACACAUCAAUCAGCACUCAGUAAAAACGCACCAAUCAGCACUCUGUAAAAUGGACCAGUCAGCGCUCUGUAAAAUGGACCAAUCAGCAGGAUGUGGGCGGAGCCAAUAAGGGAAUAAAAGCUGGCCACCAGAGCCAGCCAGUGGCAACCUGCUUGGGUCCCCUUCCACCCUGUGGAAGCUUUAUUCUUUUGCCCUUCACAAUAAAUCUUGCUGCUGCUUACUCUUUGGGUCUACAUUACCUUUAUGAGCUGUAUCGCUCACCAUGAGGGUCUGCGGCUUCACUCCUGAGGUCAGCGAGACCACGAACCCACUGGGAGGAACAAACAACUCCAGAAGCACAACCUUUAAGAGCUGUAACACUCACUGUGAAGGUCUGUGGCUUCACUCCUGAAGUCAGCGAGACCACGAACCCACCAGAAGGAAGAAACUCCGGACACAUCUGAAAUCUGAAGAAACAAACUCUGGACACACCAUCUUUAAGAACUGUAACACUCACUGCGAGGGUCCCCGACUUCAUUCUUAAAGUCAGUGAGACCAAGAACCCACUGGAAGGAACCAAUUCUGGGCACAUAAAUAUGCAGCAAAAUACAAUAUGGUAUGAUUUUGAGCAAUUGAUGAAUAUGUAGAAAAAUUAUUCAAUCCUGAUGUUUGAAAUAUGCUACUUUGAGUAGCAGCCUUGUAGUGACCUAAAUGUAUUUCUGUAGAUAAAAUUGAACUAUGUGGUACUAUAGUGAAUAAUGUGUGUUACAAUAUAAUAGCAUGCACAAUUGUAUAUAUGAAGUUUAGAACACUUCUACAUUUUAAUAUCUGUAAUAUGAUUAUACUCAUAUAUGUGUACUCAGAUUUUAAAACAUAAUAAAAU